rnacentral:rRNA from 1 species
GAUGAACGCUGGCGGCGUGCCUAAUACAUGCAAGUCGAGCGAACAGACGAGGAGCUUGCUCCUCUGACGUUAGCGGCGGACGGGUGAGUAACACGUGGAUAACCUACCUAUAAGACUGGUAUAACUUCGGGAAACCGGAGCUAAUACCGGAUAAUAUAUUGAACCGCAUGGUUCAAUAGUGAAAGACGGUUUUGCUGUCUCUUAUAGAUGGAUCCGCGCCGCAUUAGCUAGUUGGUAAGGUAACGGCUUACCAAGGCAACGAUGCGUAGCCGACCUGAGAGGGUGAUCGGCCACACUGGAACUGAGACACGGUCCAGACUCCUACGGGAGGCAGCAGUGGGGAAUCUUCCGCAAUGGGCGAAAGCCUGACGGAGCAACGCCGCGUGAGUGAUGAAGGUCUUCGGAUCGUAAAACUCUGUUAUUAGGGAAGAACAAAUGUGUAAGUAACUAUGCACGUCUUGACGGUACCUAAUCAGAAAGCCACGGCUAACUACGUG